UCCUGGCUCAGAUUGAACGCUGGCGGCAUGCCUUACACAUGCAAGUCGAACGGCAGCACGGGUGCUUGCACCUGGUGGCGAGUGGCGAACGGGUGAGUAAUACAUCGGAACGUACCUUAUCGUGGGGGAUAACGCAGCGAAAGCUGUGCUAAUACCGCAUACGCCCUGAGGGGGAAANCGGGGGAUCGAAAGACCUCGCGCGAUUAGAGCGGCCGAUGCCUGAUUAGCUUGUUGGUGGGGUAAAAAGCCCACCAAGGCGACGAUCAGUAGCUGGUCUGAGAGGACGAUCAGCCACACUGGGACUGAGACACGGCCCAGACUCCUACGGGAGGCAGCAGUGGGGAAUUUUGGACAAUGGGGGAAACCCUGAUCCAGCAAUGCCGCGUGAGUGAAGAAGGCCUUCGGGUUGUAAAGCUCUUUUGUCAGGGAAGAAACACCGGCUCUAACACAGUCCGGGAAUGACGGUACCUGAAGAAUAAGCACCGGCUAACUACGUG
rnacentral:rRNA from 1 species